AGUGAACGCUGGCGGCAGGCCUAACACAUGCAAGUCGAGCGGCAGCGCGUCCGACCACCCUCGGGGUGGUCGGAUGGCGGCGAGCGGCGGACGGGUGAGGAAUGCAUCGGAAUCUGCCUCGUUGUGGGGGAUAACGUAGGGAAACUUACGCUAAUACCGCAUACGACCUACGGGGUGAAAGUGGGGGGACCCUUCGGGGCCUCACGCGAUGAGAUGAGCCGAUGCCGGAUUAGCUAGUUGGCGGGGUAAAGGCCCACCAAGGCGACGAUCCGUAGCUGGUCUGAGAGGAUGAUCAGCCACACUGGAACUGAGACACGGUCCAGACUCCUACGGGAGGCAGCAGUGGGGAAUAUUGGACAAUGGGGGCAACCCCUGAUCCAGCCAUACCGCGUGAGUGAAGAAGGCCUUCGGGUUGUAAAGCUCUUUCGGCAGGAACGAAACGGUGAAGGCUAAUAACCUUUACUAAUGACGGUACCUGAAGAAGAAGCACCGGCUAACUACGUG
rnacentral:rRNA from 1 species